GCCACCACCCUCCAACAGUCCCUUUUGGAAGAACUGAGAUUUUGCUGCAAGAAAAGGAGCAAAAGAGGUGUUGGAAGACGAUCUCAGUCUAAUCUCUACUCAAGUUCACCUCGUAACUUCCUGCUGAGCUCAUCCAAUCGGAAGAUAUCUGUUAAAACACUGUGUGGGCAGCAUAUCCUGUCUCUCUUCUUCUUUUCCUCCCACCCACAACACCUGCAACCUUGUUGCACACUCCUCACAGGAAAUCAAGCAACUUCUGGUUCCUUUAGCAUUGGCGUAACCAGCAUCAAAAUCAGAUGGCUGCAGUAUCCAUACAGUCCUGCCGUGGAACAUGUGAAUUUCACCCCUUCUUCUCCCUCAUUGUCUUGUGGUCUUUAGUGGGCAGGGUACCUGCUAUGACCGUGAUUCAGGAACCACCAUUUGCCAGUUUCUCUCAAGGGAAGGAGCUUCAGUUCAACUGCUCACACUCAGAGAGCGGAAGCUACCAUUUUUUCUGGUAUCGUCAACAGCCUGGGAAGAUAGAGCUCCAAGUCCUUGGGAAUCUUUAUUUUUAUAAUGACAAGUUAACAGAGAUUGACACCAUUCUGGAGGGCAAGCUGACUGGGAAAUGGCUGGAUGACAGCAAGAAAAAGAUGAGCCUGCACUUUAAAGAUCUGCAGCCUGGUGAUGUGGGGCUGUAUAUGUGUGCUGUAAGGGACACAGUGAGAAAGGCAGGAACUGGGGCUGAUGCAGAAACUGAGCACCAGAAAGGCAUGCCCAAAAAAGCUCAAGAGCAGUUGAGAAGACUGCCUAAAGGUGCAUUAGAACUAUCCAUGCCCACAUGCAAGGUACUUUAAAACCAUUAUCUCCCAUAUACUAAACAGCUCAGAUAAAAAUGGCUUCGUUCUCAUAUUGGUAGCACUCUGCAACUGCUGAUUAUCUCUGACCUCAUAUCUUUUAGAGCUGUCCAAUGGCCUUUACACACCAGAUGCAUGCAUAUACAUCACUAGAUUAAGCAUCUCUUAGUAACUCACACUGCAAUGAACCACCUCAAAAGAAUUAUGGUGUGGGUCUUGGGAAGGCAUCUGGAUCUUUAUUCUGGGAGAUUUGACCUGAAAUACCCCAUUCAGAUUUUCAGUCUAUCAGAAGAUAUUGAAGUCCCCAAGCAGUGGACAGGUUUUUGUGAACUCCUACAAAUAGUCAUAACUCCCCCCACUACAGUCAGAAGAUGUAGGACCACAAACUAGAGCACUUUGUCUUCAAGGCUUGAAUUUCACCUCUGUUAGGGAGGGAUUCAUGAGGCAAGCUAUUUUUAAGAUUUAGGAAGCAAUAUCUGCAAAAUAACAAAAUGAACUUCUCAUAGCAUUAUUGUAAAGAUUUCUCCUAGAGAAUACAAAAGGCUUGGUCUGAGCACUUGAAAAUCCUAUACAAAUAUGGACUAUUAAUAUUUUUAUUUAUAUACCAAGUUUCUGCACAUGCACAGGAUUCCACAGGUUGCUG